rnacentral:misc_RNA from 1 species
CUGGACUCUCUUCUUCUUUUUCCUUUUCAUUCUCCACUAUAUAAGUACACCCCACCACCCAACAUUUACUCCACUCACGCUUUUUCGUCUUCACUAUUCUCCAUUGAAAAACUCAAAAACAAGUUUUCGCAGAGAGAAGAAUCAGUCGGAAGAAGGUGGUGAAUUUGUCAAAUCGGAGAAGGAGAAUAGUGAAUCUCUGUAUGUCAGAGGAUUACUACUACUACUAUUACAGUAACAAGUACUACGGCGGUUACGGUGAACUUACCAAUCCAUUACAAUGGCCUCAGCUCAGGAAAAGACGACGGUUUCUGCCCCUUCACGAAAUGCUUCCGCCGCUUCUGAAACUGAAUGGAAUGCUGGUGGAACCGUAACUGAUGUUUCUGAUCUUUCAUCCACCAGAUCGGCUAGUUCUGCUGCUCCCUCUACUUUGACGGCUGUGAUUGAUUCUAUUGAUCGUCCUUCUGCGCAAAAUCAGCAGCCUGCUGUGAAAGGACUGCCUACCUUAUUGAGGGCUCAAACUCACCAUCCCUUGGACCCCUUAACUGCUGCU